rnacentral:rRNA from 1 species
UACGAAGGGGGCUAGCGUUGCUCGGAAUCACUGGGCGUAAAGGGUGCGUAGGCGGGUUUUUAAGUCAGGGGUGAAAUCCUGGAGCUCAACUCCAGAACUGCCUUUGAUACUGAAGAUCUUGAGUUCGGGAGAGGUGAGUGGAACUGCGAGUGUAGAGGUGAAAUUCGUAGAUAUUCGCAAGAACAUCAGUGGCGAAAGCGGCUUCCUGGACCAGAACUGACGAUCAGGCACGAAAGCGUGGGGAGCAAACAGGG